rnacentral:lncRNA from 1 species
GAGGUGGCAAAUUAUUUUAUUCCAUAUUCCGAAAGUUACAUGACCUCCAUGCAAAGCAAAUGGGGUUUACAGUGUUGAUGAAUGAGUGGAGUGAAAAAUGUAAAAAAAAAAAAAAAAUUCUUCAGCAUUUAUUAUUACAUUUUCCUUGUAAACCUACUCAAUUUUUGCAUGCGUGGGAAUUAUUUUCUUCUUUUGGGUUGCGUAUAAUUAUUUUUUUUU